CCCACGGCGACCCCCGGUGUCCCCGGGGCCAAGGAGGGCCGCGAUCCUGCCCCCGAGCGGCCAGGCGGGCGCAGGGCGCGCUCGGGGGUCCGUCGGGCCGGCUGCCGCUGCGGCGCCGGGGCCGGUCGCGGUGUCCGCGGUCCCGCGGAAAGCCUGAAAGCCGGCCGGGGUGGCGGCCGCGGCUUACGCCGGCGUCGUGGUUGGAGCCAAAAGCGGCACACGUCCUCCGGGAGCCCGCCCCAAGGAAAGGGCCGUGCGUUGGAAGUAGGGCUGCUCCGGCGUUCUUAGCUCUGAACGCGCCGCGCGGGAGGACGAGCGCUCAGCAGCCGUUUGUCCAAUCGCUGUGCCACCGGCGUAGCAUUGCCGAUGAUGGCACCAGAUAGGUGGGUAAUAUCCGGGCAGACUUGACCCCCUUUUCCCUUAAUUGCUGUGUUUACUCUUCUCCAUUAGGUCAGUUGCGUCUUCACUGCAGUCUGUUAAAAACACUUGGUAACGGCCGGCAUCCUCUUGACCUCAUUUAUACAUUAGAGAACUGAAUACAUGCAUGAAAUGGGCCCUAGUUCGUGUGUUUGGAUUAUUUAGAUGCAAGUCUCAGGGCAGAAGAAUGGUUACGAACCACAGCAGGAAACUCUUGAUUUACAAACACUAAGCACUGAUUGCUCCUACAAGCCACCAGCACAAUUUGUAUUGGACAAGCACUCAUGUCCUAAAGCCUCAGCAUCCUGCUGCCUGCCGUAGCAGCAACCAGGCCAUGGAACACUAACUCCCUCACACUUACCAAUAGUCACACAGGAGAUGAGAAAGCCAAGAUCAAACGAACAGCGUCACCUGUGUAUGGGUACAGCUUAUCUACCAUUUGUAUGGUGGCAAUUCCAGUUAAUGGCUCAGCUUGAAUUUCCCCACAAGCAUGACUGCAAGACAGGAAACUAGAGGAAGAGCUCUUCACUGCAAAGUAAAAAAUCCCAGACAGCUCCUUUAAAAUGAAGUUCUUGCAUCAGGAGUUGAAAAACACCAGGAAGCAAAACAAAGCAGACUGCAGUGAAGACCUGUCUCUUCCCAGCACCUUACCUUCAGGAGGCAUAGCAGGCAAACUCCUGGGUCAGGCCAGUCAGUGGGGGAAAUUUGCAGGGUCCUUCUACUGACUUAAUCCAUCUCUUCUACUUCUGUCAGACAGGACAGCAGCUCUGGGCUGGGAAAGCUCCUGCUUGUAAGAAUGCCAUGACAUUUUCUCCUCAUGGGGAGGGGAAAGAGUGCAAUAGUUUGUGUGGGAAGGACAGGGGGUUGCUAUUUUAAUUAUCCCACCUGCAAAGGUAUGUUGUUUGCUCUGUUCCUCCCACAUGGCUGUUUGCCAUCAAUCCUGUGCUCUACUCAAAUGCAGCCCAACCAAAAGUGGAGAAGAAAAGCAUUUAGUUUAAUGCCUCUGUUUUCUUUUUUUUUUGUUUUUCUGCAUUUAAACACUUAACAGACAAGGUGUGACAACAGGCCAUGUAAGGCCUACUGCUUUGAAAUGCCUACAAAACGGUAUUUAGCUGCCAAUACAAGCAUCUUAACUGGCUGACCAGUGCGAAUGGGCAAAAAAAGCAAGCAGAGGCACUGCAUUAAGGUAGCAACAGCAAGCCCUAAUUAUUUCACAUUAUUAUCUGAUAACAGUGCAGUGUGCAAUCUGUCACACGCCUAAGGUGUCUGAAAGUCCUAUUCAGCCCUCAGUAAUGAAGUAUUUCCUUAUCCUUUAACCAACAAAACACAGCUACAACAGGGGUUUUCCUCUCAUUCCUGGGAGCACGUCUUAUUACUCAUGGCCAAUAAUAUAUGAAAAACCCACAAAAGACAGUGCUUUUUGUCAUUAAUAUGAUCUUUAAUAAAUGGAAUAAUGCACCAUU